CCUACGGGAGGCUGCAGUGGGGAAUAUUGGACAAUGGGCGCAAGCCUGAUCCAGCCAUGCCGCGUGAGUGAUGACGGCCCUAGGGUUGUAAAGCUCUUUCACCCACGACGAUAAUGACGGUAGUGGGAGAAGAAGCCCCGGCUAACUUCGUGCCAGCAGCCGCGGUAAUACGAAGGGGGCUAGCGUUGUUCGGAUUUACUGGGCGUAAAGCGCACGUAGGCGGAUCUUUAAGUCAGGGGUGAAAUGCCGGAGCUCAACUUCGGAACUGCCUUUGAUACUGGAGAUCUUGAGUUCGAGAGAGGUGAGUGGAACUGCGAGUGUAGAGGUGAAAUUCGUAGAUAUUCGCAAGAACACCAGUGGCGAAGGCGGCUCACUGGCUCGAUACUGACGCUGAGGUGCGAAAGCGUGGGGAGCAAACAGGAUUAGAUACCCUAGUAGUC
rnacentral:rRNA from 1 species